rnacentral:rRNA from 1 species
AAACUUUCAACAAUGGAUCUCUUGGCUCUCGCAUCGAUGAARAACGCASCAAAAUGCGAUAAGUAAUAUGAAUUGCAGAAUUCCGUGAAUCAUCAAAUUUUUGAACGCAAAUUGCACUUCUUGGUAUUCCGAGAAGUACACAUGCUUGAGGGUCAGUU